rnacentral:rRNA from 1 species
UACGUAGGGUGCGAGCGUUAAUCGGAAUUACUGGGCGUAAAGCGUGCGCAGGCUGUUUUGUAAGUCAGAUGUGAAAUCCCUGAGCUCAACUUAGGAACUGCGUUUGAAACUACAAGACUAGAAUAUGUCAGAGGGGGGUAGAAUUCCACGUGUAGCAGUGAAAUGCGUAGAGAUGUGGAGGAGUACCAAUGGCGAAGGCAGCCCCCUGGGAUAAUAUUGACGCUCAUGCACGAAAGCGUGGGGAGCAAACAGG